AGAGUUUUAGCUUCGAUUUCGUACCGGCUGGAGGAGGAGGAGGGGAAGAAGGACGCGCCGGAGAGAGGGGUACUGGCCCUGUCAGAACCGGCCUUUGAGGAGCCAGUCCCUGAUGAUCGUUACCAUGGUAUCUACUUUGCGAUGCUAUUGGCCGGCGUGGGCUUCCUGCUUCCCUACAACAGCUUCAUCACUGACGUGGACUACCUUCACCACAAGUUCCAGGGAACCUCCAUAGUAUUUGAUAUGAGUCUGGUGUAUAUCAUGGUGGCUCUAGUCGCUGUCAUACUAAACAACAUCCUGGUGGAGAGGAUCAGUCGACACACACGAAUCACC